ACGAAGCUGGUCUUGCCGUUCAUGAAGACUCGAAUGCUGGGUCUGGGUGCGCUAAGCAGCUUGGCGGCGAUGGGACUGGUAGAGAAGGAGUUAGUGUCCACCGGCGUCGGGAUGCAUCUCCGACGAGGUCGGCGCAGUCGACCGACCGAGUCAUUCUGGAGGCACCUAGAUGGACGAAAAGGUCUACACCCAAACCCUCCCAUUCUUGUGCUGUAAAUUUUCAACUGUGACUGUCUUCGUCUCCUCUGUGCAUCAUUUUGUCAAAAAACUGGUUUGCUUUAGCAAAAAUCCUUAAUAUUUUUUUGUCAUAUCUAAAUGGCCCUAUCUAAAUAGUAAGCCGUGGCAUUGCAGCCCUUGCUUAGAGGUGCCUUCUUUUAAAGUCAGGAUCGCGUUCACCAUCUUUUGAGAAAUUAGUGUUGCAGAUUAACUCGAUAUCUGGAUCAAUGUAAAUUAUGUUGUAAGAAGAGGACGAUGCUAGUGUUGGAACAUCAGCCCAGGUGGGGUUGCGGAUGGAGCGAGGUGGAGGAUCAGGAUCAGAGGCAAGGGAUCUGGCCAGAAAACAUGGCCUGAGCAGGGGCUUGUGCGGAUAGCUUGGGAUUGCCGAAUACCUUGCUAAGUGCGGGAUUCGGUAUGAGGUGAUUCUCAGAAGGACGAAACAGCUAUGGCGAGUGGUUCAGGGAAUCCACCAGUUGAUCCUUCAGUAACGAGUGAGUGUGGGGAGAAGUUCCCUCCGCCAGUCGGUCUAAACCAUGAUGAGCCGUCAAUUAGGGAUGUUUUGUGGUUCUACGACAACAUGAUGGGCUGUUCGGACGGGAAGCUGCCGAAAUAAGGCGUCUAUCUUGACCAGGACCUUAAGGAUGAGCUUGGGCCUAGAGGUGAGAUUACAGUGGAUGGCUGCAGGGGCAUCCAUCAAAUGUUAACUGCGAAAGAGUUGAUGAUAUAUACCAUGGAUGGCUAGCAAGAUGGAGAGAGAUUUUGGAUCCCUGCUUUGUGGAACUGCAGGAAGAACUUUGCAAACCAGAUGAUGAAGUUGACUGGGAUUACAUCUGUAAGAUGAUGGAGUCCAAGCUAAUGGGAAACAAGAUUGAGUGGCUGAAGAAGUGCACUUCAUGGGUUGCUGGUCCUUGUACAUCCUGGACCCCGAGAAGGAGAUCUUCACGGUCUUGGACCCAGCUGAGACACACCCUACUGAUGAGAUGGAAAGGAAGCACAUCGCCAAUGCAAAAAUAUUCUAGCUUCUAUUCUGCCAAUGCUUCAGAGACAUAUUCGGUGGCUGGUUGGUUGAAGUGGAAGGAUGGACUUUCCUGUAUGCCUUUAUGUCCCAGCAUGAUCCUUGCGCUAGGGAGGAGAGAAGCGUUUACAUUGUGCACUACAUCCAUGAGUUCAAUGGGCUCUACCUGCGAUCUAUCAUCAGAGGAUAAGUAUCGGGCAUCACAUUUUGAUGAAUGUUGUAGUAACUUGUGAUGAACAUAGGUUUCAUUAAUAUGUGACCUCAUUUGUGUGCACAGAUAUUGUUUGAUCACCUGCGGCUCGCAUAUGAGAUCGUGUCUAUGAGAGGGAACCAGCAUGACCUGCCAAGAGUUUCCCGUGCUUUGAAAUCGUAGACCGAGGGAAUGAAGCGGAAUAGUUGCAGGGUGGUCCUAAUUUUUGACUCUGUCAUGCGUGUGUUCCUUAGUGUAUUUUUUCACUUUUGGUUUGUCGCCUCUGAAUUUGUAACCCAAAUGUGGGUACUGUAAACUGGACAAUGGGUUUGAAUUUGUAAUGUCAAACCUGAAGUACUAGUCGAAUGUUGAAGUCGAAGCAUUUCCUUGAAACUUGGUGUUU